UGGGGAAUAUUGGACAAUGGAGGAAACUCUGAUCCAGCAAUUCUGUGUGUGUGAAGAAGGUUUUAGGACUGUAAAACACUUUUAGUAGGGAAGAAAAAAAUGACGGUACCUACAGAAGAAGCAACGGCUAAAUACGUGCCAGCAGCCGCGGUAAUACGUAGGUCCCGAGCGUUGUCCGGAUUUAUUGGGCGUAAAGCGAGCGCAGGCGGUUAGAAAAGUCUGAAGUGAAAGGCAGUGGCUCAACCAUUGUAGGCUUUGGAAACUGUUUAACUUGAGUGCAGAAGGGGAGAGUGGAAUUCCAUGUGUAGCGAUGAAAUGCGUAGAGAUUAGGAGGAACACCGGUGGCGAAAGCGGCUUUUUGGCCUGCAACUGACACUGAGGCGCGAAAGCGUGGGGAGCAAACAGG
rnacentral:rRNA from 1 species